UACUGCUCCAUUGGCAAAGUAAACUUAAGACACAAUGAGGGCUUGGAUUAUCCCUGAAAACAUGACCCUUCAGCCCUGGGUUUGCACAGGGAGCAGAAUAAGAGUCUCCAGGGCUUGGCAGAGCCCCCAAGGAAAGGGACCAACUGCUUGCUCGCCAGGUCAGACCCAAGCUUCCUCCAACUCCACGAUGCUACAGCCUGUCAGGGUGCGCCAAUGCAAGAUUACAGUCCUCUUCCUCAUUCACCUGUGAUCUGCUCUCCCCAGGGCUUCUUCUCUCAGCUGAAGUGGUAGCUGGCUCUUUUCCAAGUAGAAGCACUGAAGACUGAAUUUGCCACCCAUUUCAACACUUUCUUCAUGCACACCAGAUGUUUUUAUGCAGAAGCCUGAGGGCUAGGAUGAGCUCUAUAUCACACUCUGAAGAUCAGCAAAUUCUGGCAGCUCCAUGAGUAAAACGAAAUCACAUGAUCUGUCUACCAUAAAUAUCUCACAUCUAGACUUUAGAUGUAGAAAUUAUUAGCAAAAGCACUUCAGCUGUUCUGCAUUGCCAUUCCAGGAAUGACAGAGUGAGAGCUAGAUUCAAGUAUAUUGGCUCUACAACUGGUGCACUGCUCUACUUUUUGAAAUCCCUCAUCAGCCAGAAGAAACUUUCAAUAGCUCAUGGGUUAUCUUCCAUUUAGCUCUUCGCACACCAUCUCCAACAAAAAUUCAUGCCAAGUGGUAGGCAGUUAGCUCCACACUGGACACAACACAACAACCUAGCAUAUGCAAAGAUGGGUUUUAUGUCAUAUUGAAACUGGUAUAAAAGUUUAACAGCUGGAAAACAAGGCAGAGCUGCAUAUUAUCUAUGUACUGAUGGCUUUGUGGCCCAAGUCAGUUUGACCCUUCCAGUGGUUUCUCCUGAGUGCAAGCGGAAGCUGGGAGCUAGACCUUGCAGAGCACUUCACCAGUGACAUCUGCUUCCUCUGAGGCCUUUCGGGGAUAAAAGAACAGAAAUUCCUAAGCAGUCAGUGCCCACAGGUAAACUUCAAAAAGCUGGACUUCAGAGUCUCCCAGAUACUGCUGACAGCUCUGAAAGAAUGAAUACCAAUGCUUGACACCUAAGUAUGCUGAAAGGUUACCUACACGACAGGCUGAAUUCCCACACUAUAGAAUCAUACGGGUAAACAAGAAAUUCUGAGCAAUACUCUUGUUAUUUCAGCAAAAAAAAAAUCUUAAAAAGUGAAGAUUUGAGCUACGGAAGUAGUUGGUCA
rnacentral:lncRNA from 1 species